AGUAUCGUGCCGGAUUAAACGGAGCAUGUUGAUGUCAUGAAAUAUAAGAAGUUUUUCUUCGAUACUA
rnacentral:tRNA from 1 species